AGCUUUUUUCCUUAGGCAGUAGAACCAUGGUUCCCUAGCGUUGAACAGUCAUUGAGAAAAAAUGGGUACGUUGUGCAGGAUAAAAAUGAAUGGAAUAGGUGGUAUUGAGAAAACGGGGCCUAGUUGGAAUAUUCCUCCAUGGAUCUUCUUCACUUUGUAAGAUGAAUGAAAUAUGUCACUGUGAGUCUCAUGCGGAAUGCAAAGGUAUCUUGUAUGAAAUAGGUUACAUCUAUUACAUUCUUCUCCCAAAUAGUGAUAAUAGACAUUGGUAGUGGAACACUAUGAAUCUUCACAUAUUUUAUGAGA